GAUGAACGCUAGCUACAGGCUUAACACAUGCAAGUCGAGGGGAAACGAUAUUGGAAGCUUGCUUCUGAUAGGCGUCGACCGGCGCACGGGUGAGUAACGCGUAUCCAACCUGCCCAUCACUUGGGGAUAACCUUGUGAAAGUAAGACUAAUACCCAAUGACGUCUCUAGAAGACAUCUGAAAGAGAUUAAAGAUUUAUCGGUGAUGGAUGGGGAUGCGUCUGAUUAGCUUGUUGGCGGGGUAACGGCCCACCAAGGCGACGAUCAGUAGGGGUUCUGAGAGGAAGGUCCCCCAACAUUGGAACUGACGACACGGUCCAAACUCCUACGGGAGGCAGCAGUGAGGAAUAUUGGUCAAUGGACGAGAGUCUG
rnacentral:rRNA from 1 species